rnacentral:rRNA from 1 species
CGGCGGACGGGUGAGUAACGCGUGGGUAACCUGCCUCAUACAGGGUGAUAACAGUUAGAAAUGACUGCUAAUACCGCAUAAGACCACGGUACCGCAUGGUACAGUGGUAAAAACUCCGGUGGUAUGAGAUGGAUCCGCGUCUGAUUAGGUAGUUGGUGGGGUAACGGCCUACCAAGCCGACGAUCAGUAGCCGACCUGAGAGGGUGACCGGCCACAUUGGGACUGAGACACGGCCCAG